GCGUUAAUCGGAAUUACUGGGCGUAAAGGGCGCGUAGGCGGUUAAUUAAGUUAGAUGUGAAAUCCCCGGGCUCAACCUGGGAACUGCAUAUAAUACUGAUUAGCUAGAGUAGAAUAGAGGGAAGUGGAAUUUCCGGUGUAGCGGUGAAAUGCGUAGAUAUCGGAAAGAACACCAGUGGCGAAGGCGACUUCCUGGAUUCAUACUGACGCUGAGGCGCGAAAGCAUG
rnacentral:rRNA from 1 species